GAAUGCCAGAGAGCAUGAAAGCAAGAUAUUCCAACCCCAAAACACCUUGGAGGGUGCCCUAAUGAAGUCAGAAGAGAGAUCCCGAGUGAAAGGCCUGGCCACGUCUGUUGACAUG